UACGUAGGCAGCAAGCGUUGUUCGGAAUUACUGGGCGUAAAGGGUGCGUAGGCGGCUUUUAAGUUUGGUGUGAAAUCUCCCGGCUCAACUGGGAGGUGCGCCGAAUACUGAGAAGCUAGAGUGUGGGAGAGGAAAGUGGAAUUCCUGGUGUAGCGGUGAAAUGCGUAGAUAUCAGGAGGAACACCGGUGGCGAAGGCGGGUCUCUGGGCCGAUAUUGACGCUGAGGAGCGAAAGCGUGGGGAGCGAACAGG
rnacentral:rRNA from 1 species